rnacentral:misc_RNA from 1 species
AGGGUCUGGAAUUCUAUUGGUAAUUGUAUGUCCUAGAAAUCAGAUAUCCACACAAAGAAAUGAUGGUACAAGAAGGUAUUUAGCUGAUCCAAUAUUACAUGAAAUUGAAGUAUAAACAGUAGCCGAAUAACAUGCAGGUAUAUUAUUCCUCUCACCUCUUCCUAGCAUUCUUCUACUGAUACAUGACAAGCACAUAGCUAAUUAUACAUCUGAAAUUCCCUCCCAAAGAAACCGUUAGGUGAAAUAAGGCUCUCUAUGUAGGUAUCUGCUUCAAAUCCAACUCCAACUGGAAUUCCUUUAAUCCCUAGCACCUUAUAUGUGUCCUCUUCCAAAUUGUACUGGACUAAUCUUCCAUCUACCUCCAGUAAAGCUUCUCCAUUCUUUGCCAAGCACAGUGGCUUCAUGCAAAUGUAUGGCAGGCUGAUACUAAACCUAGCCCAUGAGUCACCAACCCCAUAUUCACGCAUCACCCAAAAAUCAUCAUGCAAAUCAUCACGGCUAUAAAGUACACAAAGACAUCCAUUCAGGGUUCCUACCGCAAAUUCAAAACUAUCAUCAACAUCUGGUGCUGGCAUGCCCCAGAACAACUCCUCUCUCAAAUCAAACACUGAAACUACGUACUUGCCAUCUUCAUCUUCCCUACUGGUAGCCACCCAGUGAAGAGCUCCAUGAAGAAACAUCCCGGAAUUAUACACAGAGCAAUCGUAAGGGAAGGUCCCAAUUCUUCUCCAAGAAUCAGUUCGCAAUGAAUAAACACUGAACGAAGAAUCAGUAUCAAUUCUCACCACCUUAUAAUCAUCCCUAGUUGAAUCAUAACCAAACCCAUAUGCAGUAACACCGCAUGUCGCAGGCCCAGAAAAGGAUUCUUCAGGGAUUCUCUUGGAUUCCCCGGUAGAUGGAUUAAAUAAGAAAAGGGUGUCUUCAUCUGGGGCUAUACACACCAAUCCAUUACAAGAACCCCAAAUUUCAACCCAAUUUCUCGGAUUAACAGAGGAUUGCACAUCAACCUUAACCAUCACUGGGUUCUCAUCUUCAUCUUCAGACAAUUUAAAAUACACCAAGUCAUUUUUUUUAGAACCCAACACAUCACCCAAAGCAUUAGGGUUGUCUUUCAAAGGAUAAUCAAGCUCAACAGCUACAACAUCGCCAUCAUCAACGCUACACAUAGAUUCAUACUCGACAGAAUAG